UUUGUGUGCGCUGUUUGUGACACAUGGAGCACAGCGUUGAAAGACAACAUGGGAGAGAAAGCUGGGGCUAACUAAAGGACCCCAAACCAUGGAAUGGUGCUGCCCAAAUUCAAGUGAAGUCUUCCCUGCUCAGUUAAACCUUUCUGGAAACAUCCCUAAAGAUGCGCCCAAGAUCAGCAGAUACGUUGGAUAUAAUUCGUCAAAGUGGUUGGGAGCUGUGAAGCCCUCAUGCAUCAGCACUGAGACACCCUGUCACAAAGCCUUCGCAGUGUGACGAACCACAGCAAAGCGGGUCUAAUGACCAGGCAAUGAGGGCUACAGCUGGGGACCAAGGAUGUGCACGGGCAGAGCUCACUCAGCUUCCUUUCUUUACAACCUUCCUGGGUCCUACCCUCCUUAACACAGUUUAGGGGAUCUUGGCCAUCAGACCCCCAUACUCCUCCAGCUCCACCCCUCUCAGUUUCUGUUUGGCUCCUUACUUCCAACCACAGCAAUUCCCCAAGCUCGGAGACUUGAAGGCUUCAGUUCCUCCACAUGUGCCACUCCUUUGUUUGCCUAGCACCUGUCUAGCACGUGCGCACCUGUCUCCUGUCCUGCGAGUCACCCGAAGACAAGAAGCUCCCAUAUCUAGCACAGCUCUUGACAUAUAAUGAGCAUUUGUAUUAUAUUAUUCCUCAGUACCCCAUUCAUACUACAAUGUUUCCCAAUGUAGUGACUCGUGUUUGUAACAGGAGGUGGCAGAAGGAGGCUCAUGAGUUCAAAACCAGCCUAUCUCAGAAACAAAAACAAAAGAGAAAAGUUAGAAUGUUUGGAUUAUUUUGUUAAAGCCUUCAGUUGAUGUAAGAAAUAUUUAUUUUUAAAUGCAUUAUAAGUUUCUUUGUUGUACUGUACAUUUUUUAAACUUGAUUAUUUGGUUU